CAAAUGCUUCGGAUUCCGUACUCUUAUAAAGUGUCUGAGCAGCUGUGAGGAAUGGUUGCUGCUUGAUUGUCUGUUUGUUUCAGCGUCAGAUUUCUUCUCUAAUAAGGCGGCGUUUAUCCUUCAUGUGCAAGUGUUGUGCAUUUAAUAAGAGGAACUGCAUUUGGUCACUGCUGUCCUUCUUUACCCUUUAUUUUUGGGUUUUGUGAUUUAAUGUUUGUUUGGUUUUCUUUAUUUAAGGCACCCAUCACGUUGUAUGGAUGCUGUGUUUAGCUGAUUGGUAAAAAGACUAUAGGGGGAUUGUUUGCAGAUAUUUUACUGUAUAAUAACCAACUGAUUUUGUGUAUCUGUUCCUUUCCAGUGGAUCAUCUGGGAGCACUGGUUGGAUUGUGGGUGUUGGUCCUUUGAUGGUGGAAUCUGUGCUACGGUUUACACUGCAUGCUGUGUGAAUUUUAUGAAUUUACGGUGUGUGGCACUUUGCGUGUGUGUGGGUGUGCGCGUGUGUGUUUUUCUUUACAGGCACCAUUUUGGGUGAACCUUUUGGGGUUAAAGUGGGCCUGCACCUGUGGCCUGUCAGUCUUCCUUUGUAUCCACUGGAAUGUUUGGUGUUAAUUGGUAAUUGUAACAUUUGGUAUCCUUUUAAUAUGAUUCAUGUUGCAGUUUUAAAUAAAAUAAGGUACUAAUAAUAAAGGUUUAUAUUUUAACUGAU